GAGGGGAGGGGGACAUAACGGCUGACAAAUUGGAGAGAGACGAUGGCUCCCAUUUUUCACUCGGAGACGGCUGGGUGUGGCUGUGGCGAGAGGAGAGGAGGGGGACAGAGGGACUGGAGAGGAUGGGGACAUAGGGAUAGAGCUUCGGCUUCGGCUUGAUGAGAGGGAGAGAGAGCCUGCGGCUUGCAGAAUCACGAUGAUAGAAGAAGAAGCUCAGAAGUCUGAUACGCCAAGUUGGAGAAACCCUAAAAACCAGAGAAGAAGAAGAAGAAGCUCAGAAAUCGGGUGAGGAUGUUGACAAAUCAGCAAGCCCAGUUUCAGGCGACUCUGCAAAACCAACAACCUGACCUCCGACGAACGAUGUUAGAGGAGAUUCGUCAGAUUCGAGCCGAACCGAGGCCGUCGUCGACUGAGAGAACAUCAUCAAUCCCGACUUUUGGAUCGACUCCCUCUACCUCCUCCUUGUCCGCGACUCCUGCUCCGUCUCUCUUCUUGCGAGUUCGCUCGGGUUCUGCUCCCCAGCUAUUUCAAGCACAAAAACUUCUCCAGUUUCAUUCGUCAGCUCAUAUAUACGUAAGCUCUUCGCCUCUUAAUAUUUUGAUUUAGGCAAAUUGUUAAGUUCUUGAAAAAAAUUGAAAGAAUUGUUCAUUUUUGUCCCAAAUUGGUUUGGUUCUGGUUUCGAAACAGAAACAAAAACAUAAACUCCUUCAUCUACGAUUCACUUAUUCCAUUCCAGAUAUUACUCGGAGAAGUUUGAAGGGCCCUGGGACAAGGGGGAUUGCAUUUCAGAGUAGCAGAAAUACAAGGCCACCCUCUCUUUGCUUGUCAUCUUCUUCUUCGUUCUUUUUUCAAUGGCAAAGCUGGACGAUCCAUGGAGCACAUGUUGUUGAGCCUUUUGUUGCUAUUGGUCUGGUCCAAUUCGAAUGAGUUGAUGGAGUACAAUCUUUAGGCCCGUUGGAGGAGCUGAAAAACCAGUCUCGACUCCGCCGACCGAGACAUAUUCCGAGAUAUGCUCCAGCUCAAUAACAAAUCAGACAUCAGCCCAGCAGCUUUUGGUGUGCCUGCGAAUGUUGAUUCGGCGAUGCGUUGACAAUAACAUCAAGAGGGAGAGAUUCAAAAGAUGUUCCCAGUGUAGCUGUUUCACAGUUGAAGAGGAUGUUGAUGCUUUUGCUGCAGAAGUUUCAGCAAGAAUGACGGCGAGAUGCACACAAGGAUCAGGUUAGAGAUCUGCGUUGUUUGACAUUUCUGUGUGAACACUUUUGAGUCUCAAAUAUAUCUCAAAUUUGGGGUAUCGGGUAUGGGCUGCUAAGGCUGAAAGUUCUUUUGGCUCAUACAUUAAAGCGGCACGUGUGCUUUUGGCUCAUUUAUGUACAAAAGUGAAUCUUUGAAUCUGCUUAUUUAUGUUUUGAAAUGAGUGUGUUUGUUCUUACUACUGGAAGUGUUUCAUGUGGAGAUUAAUCUUUGAAUCUGCUUAUUCAUGUUUUGGGAAUGUUAAUCUUUUUAAUUUUUUCUUUCCAGGACGAAAAUAUUUAACAAAAUGAAUUGUGAUUAGAAAGUUAAUUGAAGCUUUGAAAAAUUUCGUGGUAAAAAAGGAUGACAGAUUACUGUUGUUUUUUUUUUCCUUCCUAACCAAAAAUUACCUUUGAUUUUCUUGAUUGUGCAUUUAUUUAAUAUGUGCUAUUAUAAUCGUUCUCAGUAUAAUAGCAGGACCUACUACACGAGCAAGACCAAGUAGCCGACCCUCUACAACAAAAUCAGCCCGCUCGGAAACCCUAGCUUGAAUGUGGUUCCAGAGCUCAACAACUGGGUCUACAAUGGCAACAAAGUCCGAGUCACGGAGCUUCAGCGCAUCAUUCACGACCUCCGAAAGCGGAAACGCUUCUCCCAAGUCCUCCAGAUUUCCAUCUUUCUUUCUUGCCUUGCAAUUUGUGUUAUCCCCUGUUUGGUUGCUCAUACAAUGAAAGAAAAUUGAAAGAAGCAUCAAAGUAAUUAAAUUUUAGUUAAAGAAAGUGAGUGAAAGAGGGAAUUAGGAUUUUUAUUAGUUUAUGUGUUCCUCUCCCUCCAAACCUAAUGGCUUAGCCUUUGAUUUGAUGAAACCCACCUCCAAAACCCUUCCUUGAUCACCAUCUUCAGCAACCCAAUUCGGCGCUUACUCGGAUCAGGACCUCUUGGAGAUUCGGAGCUCCAGCUCUGCCCACAAGUGUGCGAAGGUGACAUGGUCCUGGUCGACGGUUCAGAAGCUCUGGUGAUUCUGACUGAAAAAGAGGUCAAUAACAAGAAGGUGAUGGAAUUCAAUGUUUUGGGUUUGUUAUAGAGGC